GACGAACCGUCCAAACGUUAUUCGGAAUCACUGGGCUUAAAGGGUGCGUAGGCGGCGCGGAAAGUAGGGUGUGAAAUCCCUCGGCUUAACCGAGGAACUGCGCUCUAAACUGCCGUGCUCGAGGGAGAUAGAGGUGAGCGGAACUUAGGGUGGAGCGGUGAAAUGCGUUGAUAUCCUGAGGAACACCGGUGGCGAAAGCGGCUCACUGGAUCUCUUCUGACGCUGAGGCACGAAAGCUAGGGUAGCGAACGGG
rnacentral:rRNA from 1 species